UCUGAUUCCGCUGUCUGAAAUUCGCGAUAAGGAGGUGAUGCGUCAUUAUAACGUGGAAACUGAUGCUGAGGUUUUGGACCUACUUGACACUGUUUCUAGCCAGAAACAGGUUUUUGUUUACCUUUACCGAUUACUCUUACUUUUUCGUUGGAUUAAGUUUUUGUUUUAUUUUGAUUUAGUUAAUGUUUGUUUGAUACUAACAACUAACAAACUGAGCACCAACAAAGCGUUGGUUGGUCUAGUGGUGUAAAGCCCCACUGGAUCUCCAACGAGGUCGAGAGUUCAAUUCUCGGGAGCGACACUCUUUGAGAGUGGCAGACACGAACUCGGGAUUAGUUCCGGAUACCCUUGGUAGUACCAAAAAAUUAACAAACUGAGCUUGGAUAUACAGGUGACGGUGGUGGGAAAGAUAUACUGGGGUGAUGCAAGAGAGAAAGUUGUUGAAGCUGUUGGGGACUUGAAGCUUGACUCUUUGGUCAUGGGUAGCAGAGGUUUGGGUGCUAUAAAUAGGUACUUUCAACUCCCUCACCCUAAUUAGUCAUACUUUUAUAUGCAUCAAAAUAAGAUCACAUCACAUGAACUAACAAUCAAGGUUCUUGGCUUUACUAAUUAAUGGUUUAAAUUAGACAAGUGGAUGUAUUAUAAUAAUAUUUCACCUAACUUUAGCCAAAAGCUUCUUCAUAAGGGUGGGCUGCCCAGGUCCCUAGAUGGAUGUAUUGAUUUAAAUUGUAGUUACCAGCAACAGCAAAUGUGAACAUACUACUGUGUUUUUUAGCCUCCACAAUCAUAUCACAAUUGCGAUUGCGACCACAUACAUCACCCGCAACCCACAAUCACAAUAAUCAACAACCAAAAUUAAAAACAAUGAGCGGAUCUAAAAAGAGCAACUUCUAUAUAUUUUAUACAAUUUGUUGAAUGUAUGUAAUAUUAUAAAAUAAAAAAUAUUUGCUGGGCAUGUAUGUAAUAUAUAUCUGGCCUCUCUCUUGGGAUGCUUUGAAUCCAUUCCGUCCUAAAUCAUAUAUACUAAUGUGAUGUGAGACUCUAAUUCUUAACAGAAUGUAGUUGAGCCUUGGCUCUUCUGGUUGUGGUAAUUGGUUGGAGUAUUGGCUUCCUAUAAGAAAAACAUACUUCAAAUAAACAUAAGCAUGCUGAAUGCUAAUUUCUUGAUACUGUUUAUUUUUGUUUAUUGAUUGUAGGGUGCUGCUGGGGUACAGCCUUUUAUUUUCCUAAUUGUUAGAAGGAGUUUGAGAAUGAAACAUGUUCGACCAAAUGCAUCACUCACUAUAUUUAGACAGAAGACACCACAAUAUAAUAUAGUUCUUUUUUACAUUCACUAUUUUUUAUUUUACUUCCGCAGUUUUAUUUGUAAUCGCUAGAAAUAGUUGUUGUGGGUUAAACCCUAAUUGCAUGGUGUACAAAGAUACAUUCUCUAUUUUAUAGAAUCUUUCGUAUGUUACAUAAAAUGUAUUGACUCUUUAUUUUUGGUAAGUUAUUGCUUCACACGAUGAGUAUGUUAUUUUGAGACAGAUAUUAUAUUCUACUACUUAUUUGUAAAUCAAAUACAUAGUGAAAUAAAGAUUUAUUAUAGCAAAUCAUGUUGGGCAUCAAAAUCUAUACUAUAUAUAAAUGAAAAAAUAUAUGAAGUAAUUACCAUAAUAUAAUUUUAUUUUCCUAUUUUGCCCUUAAACAUUUUAAUUUUUACAAAAAAUCAUAUAAUUAUAUAUAAGUAUGUAAUCAUCACCAACAUAUUAACCACCUCUCUAGCAUUAUAAUAAAACAAAACGUUAUAAUAUAAAAUAUCUCCAAUAAAAAAUACGAUAUAAAAAAAAAAGUAUACGUAGUACAAAAAAUAUUCUAAUUAUAAAUAUAUAAAAUUUGAAUUGACAUCUUAAAAAUAUGAAUCUGGGUUGGCAAGGCCGGAAGUGUCUAUUACCACUAGUAAUAGUAGAAUAAAAAUAUAAAAAAUAAUAAAUACUUCAACUUUUUAAUUGAUAUGUUAUUCCAUUAGGGAAAGAAAUCUUGUUCAACAUGGUGACAUAAUAAGAAGUUGCAAAAUUCAAUUUAACGUUUUGGAACAUCAUGCUUUUUAUAUUUUGUUUCAAAACAAACUGAUAUAGCUUCUAAUAUUAGCUUUACAUUUAAUUUCCUUACUAUGCUUAGACUAUAAUAGGUGAGUAAAAGAUUCAAUUUUGAAUAAAACCCUUCUAAAAAUAGAAAUGUUGAAAUGAAGUAUGAUGUUGGAUAUAUAAAUAGUAAACAAGAUUAACACUCGGUUACUUAUUGCAAUUUAGUUUUGUUCCAUUUUGAUGCCAGUAAAUAAUAAACUGGUUAUAUACUUUGUUGUUGAGAAAUCAAAGACUUUAUCACAAACUGAACAGUGCAUUCUGAAUCAGAGUUGAAAGGCCAUAGAUUCGGUGUGAAUUUCCCAUUACUCGCAAAAAAUGGCAAGUGAUAGGAAAAUAGGGGUAGCCUUGGACUUCUCUCAUGGAAGCAAAAACGCUCUAAAUUGGGCUAUUCACAAUCUUCUUCGUGACGGUGACACACUCUACAUCAUCCACAUCAAACAUCACCAACCUAGUGAAUCACGAAAUCUUCUUUGGAUUACUACUGGUUCGCGUAAGUUCAUUAAUUUUUAUCUCUUUAAUUUUUGUAAGUGUUGUGUUAUUUAAUGUUUUUGAGAUCUGAUUAUUGUGAUCUUGGUUUGUAGCUCUGAUUCCGCUGUCUGAAAUUCGCGAUAAGGAGGUGAUGCGUCAUUAUAACGUGGAAACUGAUGCUGAGGUUUUGGACCUACUUGACACUGUUUCUAGCCAGAAACAGGUUUUUGUUUACCUUUACCGAUUACUCUUACUUUUUCGUUGGAUUAAGUUUUUGUUUUAUUUUGAUUUAGUUAAUGUUUGUUUGAUACUAACAACUAACAAACUGAGCACCAAC
rnacentral:lncRNA from 1 species